CCUACGGGAGGCAGCAGUGAGGAAUAUUGGUCAAUGGGAGAGAUCCUGAACCAGCCAAGCCGCGUGAGGGAAGACGGCCCUAUGGGUUGUAAACCUCUUUUGUCGGAGAACAAAACCCGGGACGUGUCCCGGACUGCGUGUAUCCGAAGAAAAAGCAUCGGCUAACUCCGUGCCAGCAGCCGCGGUAAUACGGAGGAUGCGAGCGUUAUCCGGAUUUAUUGGGUUUAAAGGGUGCGUAGGCGGUCCGUUAAGUCAGCGGUAAAAUUGCGGGGCUCAACCCCGUCGAGCCGUUGAAACUGGCAGACUUGAGUUGGCGAGAAGUACGCGGAAUGCGCGGUGUAGCGGUGAAAUGCAUAGAUAUCGCGCAGAACUCCGAUUGCGAAGGCAGCGUACCGGCGCCAGACUGACGCUGAGGCACGAAAGCGUGGGGAUCGAACAGGAUUAGAUACCCUGGUAGUC
rnacentral:rRNA from 1 species